rnacentral:rRNA from 1 species
UUUAUGGAGAGUUUGAUCCUGGCUCAGGAUGAACGCUGGCGGCGUGCCUAAUACAUGCAAGUCGAGCGAACAGAUAAGGAGCUUGCUCCUUUGACGUUAGCGGCGGACGGGUGAGUAACACGUGGGUAACCUACCUAUAAGACUGGAAUAACUCCGGGAAACCGGGGCUAAUGCCGGAUAACAUGUUGAACCGCAUGGUUCUACAGUGAAAGACGGUCUUGCUGUCACUUAUAGAUGGACCCGCGCCGUAUUAGCUAGUUGGUGGGGUAACGGCCUACCAAGGCGACGAUACGUAGCCGACCUGAGAGGGUGAUCGGCCACACUGGAACUGAGACACGGUCCAGACUCCUACGGGAGGCAGCAGUAGGGAAUCUUCCGCAAUGGGCGAAAGCCUGACGGAGCAACGCCGCGUGAGUGAUGAAGGUCUUCGGAUCGUAAAGCUCUGUUGUUAGGGAAGAACAAAUGUGUA